rnacentral:rRNA from 1 species
UACAGAGGGUGCAAGCGUUGCUCGGAUUUACUGGGCGUAAAGCGUACGCAGGCGGACCGUCAAGUCGGGUGUGAAAGCCCUGGGCUCAACCCAGGAACGGCUUUCGAUACUAGCGGUCUUGAGUUUGGGAGAGGGAAGCGGAAUUCCUGGUGUAGAGGUGAAGUUCGUAGAUAUUAGGAAGAACACCAGUGGCGAAGGCGGCUCACUGGCUCGGUACUGACGCUGAGGCGCGAAAGCGUGGGGAGCAAACAGG